GCGGCAACAGCUCAAAUUUGAAAUCUGGCCCUCGGGUCCGAGUUGUAAUUUGUAGAGGAUGCUUUUGGUGCGGUGCCUUCCGAGUUCCCUGGAACGGGACGCCAUAGAGGGUGAGAGCCCCGUCUGGUUGGACACCAAGCCUCUGUAAAGCUCCUUCGACGAGUCGAGUAGUUUGGGAAUGCUGCUCUAAAUGGGAGGUAUAUGUCUUCUAAAGCUAAAUACCGGCCAGAGACCGAUAGCGCACAAGUAGAGUGAUCGAAAGAUGAAAAGCACUUUGAAAAGAGGGUUAAAUAGUACGUGAAAUUGUUGAAAGGGAAGCGCUUAUGACCAGACUUGAGCCCGGUUAAUCAUCCAGCCUUCUGGCUGGUGCACUUGGCCGGCUCAGGCCAGCAUCAGUUCGGCGCGGGGGAUAAAGGCUUCGGGAAUGUGGCUCCUCCGGGAGUGUUAUAGCCCGUUGCGCAAUACCCUGCGCUGGACUGAGGUUCGCGCAUCUGCAAGGAUGCUGGCGUAAUGGUCAUCAGCGACCCGUCUUGAAACACGGACCAAGGAGUCGUCUUCGUAUGCGAGUGUUCGGGUGUCAAACCCCUACGCGUAAUGAAAGUGAACGCAGGUGAGAGCUUCGGCGCAUCAUCGACCGAUCCUGAUGUUCUCGGAUGGAUUUGAGUAAGAGCAUACGGGGCCGGACCCGAAAGAAGGUGAACUAUGCCUGUAUAGGGUGAAGCCAGAGGAAACUCUGGUGGAGGCUCGCAGCGGUUCUGACGUGCAAAUCGAUCGUCAAAUAUGGGCAU
rnacentral:rRNA from 1 species